rnacentral:rRNA from 1 species
GACGAACGCUGGCGGCGUGCUUAACACAUGCAAGUCGAGCGGAAAGGCCACUUCGGUGGUACUCGAGCGGCGAACGGGUGAGUAACACGUGAGUAAUCUGCCCCUGGCUUUGGGAUAGCCACCGGAAACGGUGAUUAAUACCGGAUAUGACCAGCUUCCGCAUGGUGGUUGGUGGAAAGUUUUUCGGCCAGGGAUGUGCUCGCGGCCUAUCAGCUUGAUGGUGAGGUAAUGGCUCACCAUGGCUUCGACGGGUAGCCGGCCUGAGAGGGUGACCGGUCACACUGGGACUGAGACACGGCCCAGACUCCUACGGGAGGCAGCAGUGGGGAAUAUUGGACAAUGGGCGGAAGCCUGAUCCAGCAACGCCGCGUGAGGGAUGACGGCCUUCGGGUUGUAAACCUCUUUCGCCUGUGACGAAGCGCAAGUGACGGUAACAGGUAAAGAAGCACCGGCCAACUACGUGCCAGCCGCCGCAGUAAAAC